GCAGGCGCCGCCUGUUCUAUUUGCUCUGUUCCGUCGAGAGGGGCCGUCAGACCGUGAUGAGUCGGGGUGAGGGUGGGGCGUCUGUCCUUACGGCCAGCUGUGGCUCAGGUCCCCUCCCAACCUCCCCUGAGGUCCGUCCCGGGGGUCGCACAGGAGCCGGGUGGACUGCGCUGGCCUUGCUGCACAGAGAAGGUGGGUUGUCAGGGCAACGGGAAGGGGAGCCACCGUUUCCCACUUGAAAUGGGGCAUCCGACCUCAGCCUGAGCACCUGGGCAUGCACACGGAGCCGGCGAGUCAGGACGGAGGGCCUCGCGCGGCGGGCUCCCCCUGCUGGUCCCCGCUCUGACCGUGGUGCAUUUGCGGGCGAGCAGGGUGCCUGUCCUCGCUGUUUCCACCAGCUGAUGAUGGUCAUACAUGAAUUUUUACAAGGAGGUUAUAAGGUAAAUGUCUCCAGCUGACUUCCAGUUGCCCGGAAGCGGAUGGCAGACUAACCAAGGAGCGGCUAGGGUAUGGCCGAGUGGUUGCCAUCGGGCUCAGCCGAGACUUCCUUCUCCCAAGACACGAGGGCUUUUAGCUUUCACCUCCACCUGCCUGUGCCUGCCAGGUGUCAGCCUGGGAUGGGCCGCUCUCCUCGGUGCAGGUCCUCAAGAUCUGUGCUGGGGAUGCUCGGGGAGCAUGGCGGCUGUCUGGGUCCUGCAGGAGGAGGCGCUGACCGGCCAUCCUGGGGAAAUGCUGAGUUUGGUUGGUGCUCAUUGUGGGUGUGAGAGAACGAGGUGUUGCCCCGUUUCUCUCCGUGGCGUGGGGGGCGCCCCGUCCCAGGCCCCCGGGGGCGAGUGUGUGUGGCUGCAGUGGUUUUCUAGGGCCAGUGGAUGAAGCAGAGGCUAUCUGCCGCCACUGUGGAUGUUGGGGAUUUCGGAAGUGUAUCUUUAAUUUUUCUCCAAUUUAAAAAACAAUAUUUUUACAACUUUGUUUUCAUGAGCGCUAAAAUAUCCUCAGUUUUUGUGUUGGAGUGAUGAAAAUUACUUGUGGCUAAUAAAGACUAAAAUGGAAAGUGACGUUACGUUCUCUCUAUUUUCGUGUACUUGAUUCAGAGCCGUUUCCAGGGCCUGAGGUGGGCGGUGGAGUCAGACCCGGGACUGAGCAUCCCACGGCGCUGACUAGCUGCGUAGUCUUGGGCAUGCUUUUAGAAACGUGUUUAGGCUUCGUUUUCUGCAUCUGAAAAAUGGGGGUAGCAUCGCUUACACAGGUGUGAAUUUGAAGCCGAGUAGCGUUUGUAAAAGCAUCAAACACGUGAGCAAAGUGCAGAUGGUCAGCGCUCAGAACAUCAGUCCCUUCCGCCGCGGACCCAGCACUCCUGCUUGUCGGUGGAAAUUGUUGGGCUUGUGAUGAUCCCGGGACGUCCCGGAGGUGGUUCCAGGGCAUUUGGGGCGCGUGGAAUUUGCGUAGAUGAGGCCAGCAACGGGCCUCCACUGAGGGGACGACUGGACAGGAUUUCUGGCUGUCGGGGAAGGAGCGGCUGGGAUGUGACUGGGACUCUGUGGCCGUAUGGGGAGGUUGGCGGAGUGUUCUCCCUUCGGGGUCUGGACGCCUGCUUCAUCUCCUUCCAGAUGCUCCUAAUUCAGGCGUGGACUCCGUGUGUGAUCAGUUCCAGGGGGGCGGGCCCAGUUCCCCUCUGCGCCCCCAGACGUGGCUGGUCUGUGUUUGUCAUCGAGAACGACUUUGGAAUGAGAGGGCUGAUUUGUGGGCGUUUUUCCUACUGUCUCCAUGUCUGGCAGCCUUGCCCCCACUGUGGGCAUGUCCAGGAGGCCUUUGGUGCGUCUCUGCUGGGAACCACCCCAGGAAUGGGACCAGGGGGCCUGGGUAGCCCCCAAACACUGAUUCCACCCACAUUCGGUCCAGCAGUAGGACCCGUGGGCUGUGGGCCUGGCUCUUGGGCCUCUGGGACCCCAAGCAGCUUGCGGAGCAGGGAGAGAUGGGCGUACUCCCAUCGUGGCUGCCCUGGGUGGUUUCUCCCCCUCCGGCCUUGGCUCCUCUGUCUCAGUCCCACCCCAGCAGAGGCCCAGAUGCUCCUGCAGCGAGUCCUGCACCUGAGUGAGGUCAUGGGGCGGGUGGUGACCCUGUAGGAUGCGGCCAUGAUGGGUGGAUUUUUGUCUUCAGAUUAUUUCUUCCAGUGUGGGUCACUGUCCACUGUGUCUUUCAUGAGUCUGGACGUUGGAGCGGGCAGCCACGCCUGCUCCUGCGUUGUCAUUGCCGUCACACAGCUCCCGUCGCAGCUGAGUUGAGAGCCGGGAAGGGAGCCCUGUCCCAUCUGUUUGCAGUGCGUGUGCCGACUGCCAGGUGAGGUCGGCUCGUGGGGUCUGGUGCUCCGUUAUUGCUAUUGUGUUUUAACCUCCUUGCUUUUAGUAUUCUAAAUUCCCCACCUUUCUUGUAAGAGUCUGCCCUUUAGUUUUCCAUAAGUCGGGGUGAGAAGUUGGCGGAACCCUUACCGGUCGGGCUGUGAGCUGAACUGAGACAUCGUGUGGGCUCCCGGCGUUUAGCCAGCAGAGGCUAGAGAACUGGGUGGGGAAUGGGUUGUCUUAAAGUAUUAUUUCCUGACAUCAUAAGUAAAAUCUGCCUGUUUCUGGGCAUAUGCUAAAAUGAGAGUUGGAAAUAUCCAGAAAAAACCUUUAUUCCCAAAGUUUUGUGUCAGCACUCAUCAUAGCGGGCAUCGCACCCUGGUGGGUGGGCAGGGGGUGUGCCGGCGGCCGGAGGCUGUGAGCCGCUUGUCCCGUGAUUGAGAUGUGAUUGUGGUGGCUUCUCCAAGCGCCCGGAGAGCAUGAAGAGUAGCUGAGCGACUCACGAGUUUGCACACCAGAUCAGGAGUGGGUACCGAGCCUCGGGGCCCGACAGUGUCUGCCUGGCUGCCCUGCGGCGCUGAGUCGCAGGCGCGUGUGAGGAAGUGCCGGGCCCACGGAGCUCUCGGUGGCUUGUCUCUGAGCCAUGGGUUCACACAUGCCGUCGCGGGGAGUGGGUUUCUGCUCAGGGAAGAUGCUGGAAGAUGCUGCGAGCGUGACGGCUCCUCCUCUUGCCCCCCACGGACAGGCGGCUGUGAUGAGCAAGCCUGGUCUCAGGCUCCGCACGGCCUUCCCGCUGCAUCCCGUGGGGACCCUCCUCCUGUGGGCUCCACUGCGGGCUCAGCUGGGGGCGCCCCGAGCCCCAGGUGCCCGAGUGGUGGCUGUCGUCUCCACUGGACCGCCAGGCUGGGGAGCGCGGGCGUGUGGGUGUGAGGAAGCUGAUCACAUGUCUGAAGAGAGAAGAAACGGCCUCACGGCAGAGCAGAGGCAACGCACGCACCCUGCCUCCCUUCGCCGGACGCCCCAGCCUCCCAGAGCGCUGGAGACUCCUCGGCCCCAGUGAGCGUGGCUGCACGUCCUCCCAGAGGGGCCCAGGGAAGGAGACGCGUGCUGUGUCGCAGGGCGUCCCUCGUUCCUGGUCGGUGUGAGGGCCGGCGAGUGUGGGGGCCGCUGUGGGGGGCAGGGGGCUUUGCCUUGUUUCUGGCUCCGACCUCCAGCUGCUCAGGCUGGUUGUUAAUGGUGAGCUUUUCCAGGGCCAAGCCUUUUGUUAUUGCGAUACUUGGGGUGCCCGUUGGGCCCACACCCCAGCAGACGUGGCUCGUGGUUGGAGAAUCGAGGAGAAGACAAUACUUUAGGGACGUGAUGUUUGACAGUGUCAGCUCCGCGGUGCAGGGCGCGCUGGGGGUCCCCGAGCCCCUGACUCUGCCUCGUCUGCUCAGGGUAGGCCGCUCACGGCAAGUUCGCAGAAGAAAGUGGUAGUAGUUGCAGAUGUUUGAAUUAAGAGAACCAUUAAAUAUGUGAGCACUGCUCAGGCAGUAGCAACAGCCCGUAUGGAGAGAUCCUUUCUGGAUGGCUCUGGAAGCUUCUAGAACAACAGAGUCCUUAUUUCAUGGGUCUAAUGACAGUGACUUGGCUACUAAAUCCACAGGUGGUUUUAUCACUAGGUCAUCACCCUUUGACUGCUUUUUCCGUUAGAGAACUUUUGUCCUUUUUAUUUUGAGUCCUUCAACUUGAUUCUUUUACUCUGUGAGUUGUCCGCAGUGGGCCAGCAUCCUACCUGUUAAUGGUCAUUGUUUGCUGAAUACAACCUGUUCAAAAUAUCGUUUGUGGCUCAAAACAUGGCCCUGUUUUACCAGUUGUGUUGUGGGUGUGCAUUGAUCUGGGUGGGCCCUUGAAAAACGCCCUGAGGACACAGGAAGCCGUGAUUUCAGGGAACAAACGAGGACGCAGCAGCCCUGUGGGUGCAGGAGGGUGAGUGCCACUGGCCGUCACUCCAGCCGCACCACAACCUGAACCACAAGAGCAUCGUCCUACUUGUCAGCUGGCGGCCCUCGACACUGUUGUUGACAGAGUGGAGGGUUCUCCCCAGCCGUCGUGGCGGUGCUGUCCUGCCUCACGGGAGGGACGUGCGAAGUCCCCUCAGGCUCUUCACGGGAGGGCGGACUCGUGAGAGCCUGGGGCGAGGUGGGUGGGGUGCUCCACGCUGGGCCUUCCUGUCCUGCUGGCUGCCCGGAUGUCCGGGGCGUGGGGGACGCGAGUGGAGAUGGCUAGGGCUGCUUUUGUUUUGAUUGCACUGUAAAGACUAUUUCCUUAUGGGUUUAAAAAUGAAUCAAGGACCUUUCCCUGCUUCUGGACUGAUGCUGGAACUUCAGACAGUUUCCCGUGAAAGGGUGUUUGGUGGAGACACUGCCACACUUUCAGGUAAAAAGCCAAGUUGACAUACCUUGCAGUGCUUUCCAGAAUCAUUGCUCCCAUCCACGUCCUGACCGGCCGGCCCUGCUUAGCUUCUGAGAUCACACGAGCUGGGCGUGCUCAGGGUGGUGUGGCCGUGACCGAAGAUGGUUCUGCUCGCUGCGGGGACGUGUGCUCUGCCUUUGUGCGACAUAUCCAACUGUCUGCGCAGAACCUCUGUGCUAUCGUGCUUCCGGGAGAGGCCCCACCCAGGCAGUCGCAGGCGGAGACCCCUGGCGUUUGGGGUUGGCGAGCUGAUAAAGUGCCCACACACCCACCUCCAGCGAGACCCGGCCUCCACUGGCAGCUCUGCUCACCGUGGAACAUCCAGGACGGCGCUUCCGGAGCCUCUGAAAGCCGCCAGCUGGCGUCCGUCCACGUGACACAUGACAGUUGUCCUUGUGGUGGCUGGACAGGCACCUGAUCGACGCCUCUCGAGACCUGGAGACCUGGGCUCAGUGGUGAGGCCUCUUCUGGAGUUGGCCCCAGCUGAUGCCCGGGUGGGUUUCUGUGGGGAUUGCUUGCCCGUCCAGGAUGUCCAGUCCUUCUUCCAGCACGCUGUGCAGCCAGCGCUCCUCCCACAGGCCUGGAUGAACUUCCCGAGAGCCCCUGGGGGGCCCAAAGCUGUACCCUGAAGUCAGCUGUGGAGCCACGAGGAGAAUGUCCCCGUGGACUCAGACGCCUCCCUGCGCAGAGUGGCUUUGAGGCCGGACAGGCUGGAACAGGUGCCUUUGUCUGCUCAGCACUGGACGCUCACAUGUGCCUCUCCUGCGGCCAGGCCUGGCAUUCAGGUCCAGUGGCCACUGGGUGACCGCAAAGCCACGUCGGGGUGGGAGCAGCCUGCAGGGGCUGGGAGCAGGCAUUGGUGUGUGCCUUUAAAGCUGUCACUCUCGCAUCCUCUGCCAGCGGCCAGGUGAAGGCCCUGUGCCCAGCCUGUGUGCAUGUGGGGCAGGUGCACCUCCCGCCUCUAGGCGACAGGGGCUGAGUUCACCGGGAUGGUGUAGGACUGCUGACUUACGGGGGCAGAGCAGGAGUGGAGAGGCAGAAAAGCGCGCACCAUCCAUGGGGAGAGGAACCCAAUCACUCUGACCCCAUUACUUUCUAGAAAGAUCCGAGGACGAAGCCCAGCCCCCACUUCCUUGCUCUGUGCAUCACACGGCGUCUCUCUCCAAGUGUGAAGGUGACGGUGUUGACGGAGAAUUACCAAAACUGCUUCUUUUCAGAAAGAGCGCCUUGCGUUUGCUUGUCCACCUCCGUUGGAUGUACGGGGUCCGCAUCUGCCUGCUCACGCGGAGCAGGUGGUCGUGGACGUGGUCGGUGCUGGGGCCUGGCGGACACUCACCUUUUGCCUAGCAGCAGCUGGGCUCCGGAAGGAAGCAGGUGCCCCUGUCGCCAGGUUCUGGGACAAUGGGAGCCGCGCCCUCCAGCAGGGCAUGGAUGGGUCUCUGGAGAGAGGAGCUUCCCCAUCAGUCUGAUGCCCAUCCCCGCCGACUGUGACGGUGGCCGGGGCGUGGUCCAUGUGUGGCCCAGCAGCCUCUGCCUGCCCCGCUCCUUGGCCUUAUCUUCAUUAAAUGAGUUCUGAAGACGGAGAAAGGCUGGGUUUUCAGAGAGGCUUAGGACAUUGCUGUCAAGGUGCCCCCUGCCCCAGGCGGGCGGCGUCUCCAGGCCGGUUGGUGCGUGUUGCCCGUCUGCGAGGUCAGCUGCCUCGUGGGUUUAUGUCAGUGCCCGUUUGUGUUUGAACGUCAUUUCUAGAGAAAAGGAAGCUCUCCCUUUUUUUUCUGUUGGUCACAAUGGGAUCUCUCGGGGAUUAUAGAUCCAAACCUGGACACACUGUGGCAAAAGGAACACAGGCAACUGCCUGACUUCAAGGUUCUUGCGUGUGUAGGUUCUGAGUUAGCCGGGCUGGGGCGCGAGGCUGCGUGGCUGCUUUUCCUUCAUUUGGUCCUCGAGGGGUUCUUUCUGGGCUGGAUGGAGUGUGGACCAGGCACAGGAGGCCUGCGUUCUGGGGAGUGUCUCUGUGCUGUCGUGCUGAAGGGCUGUGGUCCAUUUCCUCAAACAGGUAGAGGAUGUCAGACAGUUACCGUAGUACCCGAAAGAAAUAGGUUUGUUCACGGCAGCGUUAUUGACAGUAGCCAAGAUGUGGGAAUGACCUAAGUGUCUGUGAUGGAUUAUGGAUAAAGGAGGUGUGGUGUAUACACGACAGAAUGUUACUCAGCCAAGAAAAAGGAUGACAUCCGAACAUUUACACCAACAUGGAUGGACCUCGGGGGCCUGUGCUAAGUGAGAUGAGUCAGACAGAGAAGGACAAAUUCCAAGUGAUCAUUUAUAUGUGGAUCUAAAAAGCAAGGAAACCGAGCUCAGACACAGAACAGACUGGUGGUUGCAGAGGCAGGCGUGGGGGUGGGAGAAAUGGGUCAAUUGUUGGUUUGGUUUUUUUAGUUUAAAUAAAUUGAAUUUCUUUUGAAAACAAAUGAAAAAUAAAGAAAUGCUCCUAAAAAAGAAAUAGGUUUGUGGUAGAUGGCAAAAUGAUAAAGGAUGUAAGAAACAUUUUUAGGAUAGAUAGCCACCCAAUUUUGUUCUUACAUUUAACAUCAUGUCCCUUAAAACUAUAUAGUCAUCCGACAUAGGAAAUUUUCAGCAGAUUCAUUUAGGUAUUGUAUCUCUUAUAUUUAAUUGAAUUUCUCAUUGAAAUACUGUGUCUCAGGGAUUAAUUUCAAAGAGUUUUUUAAAAAUUUUAUUGAUAUGUAACAUUAAUCUUUUUUUCUUUUCUUUUUUUUUUUUUGAGGAA